AUGAAACCGGAACGCUAGUUUCGGUGGAGCCGUCCUUGAAAUACCACCCUGGUUUGUUUGAGGUUCUAACCUUGGCCCGUGAUCCGGGUCGGGGACAGUGCAUGGUAGGCAGUUUGACUGGGGCGGUCUCCUCCCAAAGCGUAACGGAGGAGUACGAAGGUACGCUAGGUACGGUCGGAAAUCGUGCUGAUAGUGCAAUGGCAUAAGCGUGCUUAACUGCGAGACCGACAAGUCGAGCAGGUGCGAAAGCAGGUCAUAGUGAUCCGGUGGUUCUGUAUGGAAGGGCCAUCGCUCAACGGAUAAAAGGUACUCUGGGGAUAACAGGCUGAUACCGCCCAAGAGUUCAUAUCGACGGCGGUGUUUGGCACCUCGAUGUCGGCUCAUCUCAUCCUGGGGCUGUAGCCGGUCCCAAGGGUAUGGCUGUUCGCCAUUUAAAGAGGUACGUGAGCUGGGUUUAAAACGUCGUGAGACAGUUUGGUCCCUAUCUGCCGUGGGCGUUGGAUAUUUGAAGGGGGCUGCUCCUAGUACGAGAGGACCGGAGUGGACGAACCUCUGGUGUACCGGUUGUGACGCCAGUCGCAUCGCCGGGUAGCUAUGUUCGGAAGAGAUAACCGCUGAAAGCAUCUAAGCGGGAAACUCGCCUUAAGAUGAGAUAUCCCUGGGGACUUGAUCCCCUUGAAGGGUCGUUCGAGACCAGGACGUUGAUAGGUCAGGUGUGUAAGCGCAGUAAUGCGUUCAGCUAACUGAUACUAAUUGCCCGUAAGGCUUGAUCCUAUAACA
rnacentral:rRNA from 1 species